rnacentral:lncRNA from 1 species
GCUGACAGGCAAGGAGGGGGCCUGCUGACUUGACUGGCAGGGACGUGGUGAUGUCGGAAGCAUGUGGAAGGAUGGGUCUGAAGAGAAAAAGAAAAAUGUGGCAAUUACUCUGGUCCCGGGAACAAUGACCAUGAUGCUACCACAGGUUGUGCAGCAUCUGGAAACCCACCACGGCCUGCUCUCCACACAGGAAGGAGGCCACGAUGCCAGGACCAGGGACUUCUCGGCUAUGAAAGGGGCCUAACAGCUCAAGUUAGAAGGAAGUCUGCCGAGUGGUGUAAGAGAACUGCUUCGUGUUCUCCUUCCUCAUACCUUUAAGAUUUGUCCAAUUAUGUUGAGUGAAGCAAGCCAGACCCAAAAGGACAA